AAAAACAGUAGAAAAAAGAGCGCUGGUCAAUUUCAUCCCCGUAACCGCUAAAAGUAAUAAACAGUCAAAAGCAAAACCACGAAUUGGUUUAAGACUUACACAAAGCUACACAUACAGAUAGAGAUCGAUCGUGACUUAAAACAAACACUGACGAACCUCAAAAGCCAUUAAUGGCAUCAUCACGAAUCAUAUCUCAUUCACCACCAAAUCUCCACCGUCAAUCUUCCCCUUUCGACACCGUUAAACCCCUUCCACCUCAAAAUCUCANNNNNNNNNNNNNNNNNNUAGUAGUAGUCACAGUAAUAACGACCUCAACGACACCGUCGAAUUGCGAACAAACUCCGUUUCCGCCGUCUCAAACGACGUCGUUUCCAAAGAUCCGAUCUCUCUUCCUCGUGCGUAUUACUCUUCCCUCUCUCUCACCUCUCUUCCUCUCUCUCUCUCUCUAACN
rnacentral:lncRNA from 1 species